UCCUUAUAUCUAAAAAAUCAACUUUUCAAUUUAUUUGUACACAUUUAGAUACUUUGUUUUCAGUUAUGGAAUACAAAUACAUUUAGAUACUUUGUUUGUUUUCAAUUAUGGAAUACAAAAAGACUUUGCAUUUGGAAAUUGAAAUUAUGGUCAAUGACUCAAUGGAGCACUGGAUUUAGGAGGUGUUUGGUGUUUGAGGGCUGGACACGAACUCUGUAAAGGUGUCUCAAGACUUGUAGGUCGUGGAUUUUGAUCUUCAUGUCUUAUGAAGGGUAGAUUUGGAACUACUUGCCUUCUUUGCAAUUUCUACGGUCCCGGUUGCAAGUAUGAAUUGAAGACGUCUGUUUUGGGUCGCAAGUAUGAAGUUUUUGUAAUUUAAAUGUGCUUCGAAUUUAUGUUAUUUGUUUUUGUUAAAUUUAUGUUCCAAAUCGUAUUUAUCAUUAUGCAUUUUUUAGUAAGAAAA